AAAUUUUAAAGAUGGAUAAAUUAUCCUAAACAUGAUCUACUGAAGACUGCUUUCAUACUUGAUUAUUUGCCAAAUUUCCUCGAUAAUUAAUGGAAUUCUUUUGAAUGAGACAUGUAUAACCAUCUGGAAUUUCUUGGCUUUGACCUGACAAGUUUCCUUGUCUUCAGGAUGGUUGUUGUAUUUACGCCUACCAUCAUGUCUUCCUAGUCCCAUUCGACAAUUGGGAAGUGGAGCAUUUAACAUCUUGCUCACCUUCUAUGUGACCCCUUCAUACCACACCUCCGUUGGGAGAAAAAACAAACAGCACAGAGCUGAGAACUAUCAAGGAUUGAGGACCAGAUUAUAUCACCUCUCCUUUCUAGGUGAAUAUUGCUCUUCCACCGAAGACACUGGGAACACAGUCUGCAUGGAGACAUCCUUCCACAUGAGAAUACCACUUCAAGACCACAACAGGUAACUGUGUCAUCUAAAUUCAUA
rnacentral:lncRNA from 1 species